CAGUCACACAGAGUGGAAACAAGCUCUUCAGCCCAACUUGUCCAUGCUGAGCAAAAUGCCCCACCUAAGCUAGCCCUAUUUGACCAUUUUUGACUGAUAUCCCUCUAUACCUUUCCUAUCCUG